UACGAAGGGUGCUAGCGUUGUUCGGAAUCACUGGGCGUAAAGCGCGCGUAGGCGGUUAUUCAAGUCAGGGGUGAAAUCCUGAGGCUCAACCUCAGAAUUGCCUUUGAAACUAAAUAACUAGAGUGUCGGAGGGGAUAGCGGAAUUGCUAAUGUAGCGGUGAAAUGCGUAGAUAUUAGCAGGAACACCGGUGGCGAAGGCGGCUAUCUGGACGACAACUGACGCUGAGGCGCGAAAGCGUGGGGAGCAAACGGG
rnacentral:rRNA from 1 species